CAUUGCGGCCAAUCCGAUUACGCCACGGUGGCCAACUCCGACAGGGGGCCGGGGUCUCUCGGACAAGUACAAUUUAACAAUUUAACAAUAACUCACGUAAACACGAUGGCCGUUGUUUUGCGCUUUUCUUCGGUGUCCGGGAUCGAUCGAGUUAGGUUCGAUUAGGUUGGACCGCGACUGUGUGCCACUGUUGUAAGUGUGCGGGGUAAUUGGGAAAUUGGGCAAUUGCAUAACGUUAAAUUUGAUUCGUAACUGUAAGCAACGAUAAACGAUAGUUGAUAACGAAAAACGAUUCG